UACGGAGGGUGCAAGCGUUAUCCGGAUUCACUGGGUUUAAAGGGUGCGUAGGAGGGCAGGUAAGUCAGUGGUGAAAUCUCCGAGCUUAACUUGGAACUGCCGUUGAUACUAUCUGUCUUGAAUAUUGUGGAGGUGAGCGGAAUAUGUCAUGUAGCGGUGAAAUGCUUAGAUAUGACAUAGAACACCAAUUGCGAAGGCAGCUCGCUACACAUAUAUUGACUCUGAGGCACGAAAGCGUGGGGAUCAAACAGG
rnacentral:rRNA from 1 species